UUUGUUCAUGCUUAUUGGGUUUAAUGAAUUUGUGAACCCAAAAGAUCAUAACAAACCUAUACAAGAGAUAAUUGCUGAAAUGACCAAUGGAGGAGUGGAUCGUUCUAUUGAAUAUACUGGCAGCAUCUAGGCUAUGAUCUCAGCAUUUCUAGUUCU